rnacentral:lncRNA from 1 species
UCAUCGUGAAAUUUCUUUUCACAAUUUGGGUCAAGAGAAAUUAACUUGAAUGACAACUUGACUGUAUUAACCCUCUUUGUGAUCAAUCUGGCUAAGGGAAAUCUUCGUUAACGGUCCAUGAUCUUGGGUCUCUCUCUAAUGGAACAUCGUUGUCCCAAGCAUCCCUAACAUGAAACAUUUCAGUAAAGGUUCCUAACUCAGCAGGUAUGCAAUGUGGCAAGAGAUGCAGGUGUUGGCGACCCUCUCAUAGGAUACCCAAACUGUUUUUUUUUUCUUUUUCCUUUUUUGUUUUUUUUUUGUUUCUUUUUCUUGUUAUUUUUUUGUUUUUUUUUUACACACACACAACAAUGGAUACCCAUGAGGGGGACAUUAGGGUAAUUCUCGCAACGACGUGCAAUACAUGAUAUUUGCUGCCAAGAGACACACCAUUUAAAUGUUUCCUCUUUUGAGCCUGUACAGAGCUGCGUUCAUUCAUUUACCCCUUUCAUCUUUAGUUUACAUUGCAGUAGUUCACCCAGGGGACAUGUGGCAUUCAAAGCGUCCUUACUCAUGCGAGAAAUGAAGCAUACAUUCAACAUCGGUAAAUAGCUAACAUCUUCUUUCUCCUUGGCUCACCACAUCGACCGAGGGUCCCAUAAGUUUCAGCUGGGCCAAUAGUGAUUGGAUUCUUAGAGCGAACUUUGUACCUCGCAACUGCAUUCAUGUCGGUGCAGUCAACCAACUCUCGAGUAUUAGGAAAAAGCAUGACACCAUAGUGGACAAGAGCUAGUACAUUCAUGAAUGUUUCCCAAAUUUCCUCCUUGGCUAAUCAAUGCAAAAACCACUCUAGUCAUUCUUGAGCUAGUAUGAAUUCGCUUUCCAACUUUAUAGGAUGCAUUUUCAUGAUUCUCGUUAGCUGCAAGACAGGGGUAUAUUGCCCAAGGUGAUUGUUUGGAUCUUUGCCCUCAAGAAAUGCAUCUAAGAUCAACCCAAAUUCUUCUACUGUGGGCACCAAUUGGAAAUGGGUCAUAGUAUUGGGCUAACACAAUAAUUUUUGUUGCCUGAACCUCCACCUCCGACAGGAUCAACAAAUUCCCACGCUCCUUCCUGAAUGCAUUUUUCAAGGUUAUCUUUUUUCACCAGAUCCCUCAAGUGAUCG